GGAUGAGCCCGCGGCCUAUCAGCUUGUUGGUGGGGUAAUGGCCCACCAAGGCGACGACGGGUAGCCGGCCUGAGAGGGCGACCGGCCACACUGGGACUGAGACACGGCCCAGACUCCUACGGGAGGCAGCAGUGGGGAAUAUUGCACAAUGGGCGAAAGCCUGAUGCAGCGACGCCGCGUGAGGGAUGACGGCCUUCGGGUUGUAAACCUCUUUCAGCAGGGAAGAAGCGAAAGUGACGGUACCUGCAGAAGAAGCGCCGGCUAACUACGUGCCAGCAGCCGCGGUAAUACGUAGGGCGCAAGCGUUGUCCGGAAUUAUUGGGCGUAAAGAGCUCGUAGGCGGCUUGUCACGUCGGAUGUGAAAGCCCGAGGCUUAACCUCGGGUCUGCAUUCGAUACGGGCUAGCUAGAGUGUGGUAGGGGAGAUCGGAAUUCCUGGUGUAGCGGUGAAAUGCGCASAUAUCAGGAGGAACACCGGUGGCGAAGGCGGAUCU
rnacentral:rRNA from 1 species